UCCUUUUCAUUUUCAACCAAAACCCGGUUCCAAAAGAAACCGGUCGUCUUCACCCUUAAAAUAGACCCGUAGAACUUCUCCCAAAUCAUUUCCUUUUUCCCCCCAAACCAAAAAGCAAAAGCAAACCACCACGCUUCAUCGUCGAAUUUAUGGGCCAACAAAGGAAAAACAAGCACGAUUCCACUGACUGGUGCCAUCUUUUCUAACGUAGUGUGAGGCAGGCCACUGAAACCCAAGGUGGAAACAAAAUUUGAAGGCAGCGCCGAUAUCUACGUGUCUGAGCUAGGCAAAUUGUUGACUAGAAUGAGAGGAAGGAAUUUCGGAGUUUUGUCAUGGCUGUAGAAGUACCACUCGUUACUUUGGACAAUGCCAAACAAAACAUGGAUGCCAUUCAUGUGAAUACAGAUUUCGAAAAUGUUUUGAGGUAGAACUGAACACUGAAAACAAAGGGCGCUUGUUCUUCACGUGUAGUAAUAAUUGUGGAUAUUUCGAUUGAGUGAAAAAUAAAAAUUUAAGUGGGGGAGCCGAGUACAUUUAAUGAAGAAGUGAACCAUGAGCCUAACGAGGAAUCUGAAGACUUGCCAAGACUCUUCGACGGCCUAGCUCAAAUUAUCGAGAAACGAGAUGUUGACGCAACAUUGCACAUAACAUUUCGCAAAGGAAAAUGAAUUGUAGAAUGUGAUGGGAAGGGGAAGGCACCGACUUGAAUGGGUGAUGUCAAUUUGCAUCAAUUUGAUGGGAAGGAAAAUCAAUUUUCAGCCCAUUUCAUUUUGAAGGAAAAUCAUUUGUGCAAAUGGAUAAAUUUUCACCCCAUUUCAUUUUGAUGGAUAAAAUUUUUUUCCAUUUUUUUUAUGUAAAAAAUAUUUUUUAUGUGUAAUUUUUCUUUUUUUAGAUAUUAAUCCAACUUGGAAUUUAUUUUA